ACCCGCUGAACUUAAGCAUAUCAAUAAGCGGAGGAAAAGAAACCAACAGGGAUUGCCUCAGUAACGGCGAGUGAAGCGGCAUGAGCUCAAAUUUGAAAUCUGGCUCCUUUGGGGCCCGAGUUGUAAUUUGUAGAGGAUGCUUUGGUGUCUGCCCUGGCCUAAGUUCCUUGGAACAGGAUGUCACAGAGGGUGAGAACCCCGUUCGUGGCCGCCGGCCUUCACCAUGUAAAGCACCUUCGACGAGUCGAGUUGUUUGGGAAUGCAGCUCUAAAUGGGAGGUAAAUUUCUCCUAAAGCUAAAUAUUGGCCAGAGACCGAUAGCGCACAAGUAGAGUGAUCGAAAGAUGAAAAGCACUUUGGAAAGAGAGUCAAAAAGCACGUGAAAUUGUUGAAAGGGAAGCGCUUGCAGCCAGACCUGCCUGUGGUUGUUCACUCGAACCUGUGUUUGAUGUACUCUUCCACGGGCAGGCCAGCAUCAGUCUGGGCGGUUGGAUAAAGGCUUUUGGGAAUGUAGCUCGCUUCGGGGAGUGUUAUAGCCCAAGGUGCCAUGCAGCCAGCUCAGACUGAGGCCUGCGCAUCUGCUAGGAUGCUGGCGUAAUGGCUGUAACGGCCCGUCUUGAAACACGGACC
rnacentral:rRNA from 2 species